GGCACUGUGCCCAAGUGGUUAAGGGGGUCGCCUGCAGAGCGAUUAUUCGCAGGUUCAAAUCCUGCCAGUGCCU
rnacentral:tRNA from 1 species